UCCUACGGGGGGCAGCAGUGAGGAAUAUUGGUCAAUGGACGCAAGUCUGAACCAGCCAAGUAGCGUGCAGGAUGACGGCCCUCCGGGUUGUAAACUGCUUUUAGUUGGGAAUAAAAGGGGGCUCGUGAGCCCCGUGCUGUAUGUACCAUCAGAAAAAGGACCGGCUAAUUCCGUGCCAGCAGCCGCGGUAAUACGGAAGGUCCGGGCGUUAUCCGGAUUUAUUGGGUUUAAAGGGUGCGCAGGCGGGCCUUUAAGCCGGCGGUGAAAUCGCGGGGCUCAACCCCGCCGAGCCGUCGGAACUGGGG
rnacentral:rRNA from 1 species